rnacentral:misc_RNA from 1 species
GUGCCCCUAUAUUCUGUAUAUUUAUAUUUUCUCUUGAUCCCAGGCUUUGCUCAAGCUCCAUUGCAGUAAAUAUGAAGGAUAAAAGGGAGUACAUUUGCAACAUCGCUAACUGCUGUCAAAUUUACAAUAUCAAGAGAUAGAGAUUGGCAUUGGUCCUUUCAACCCCUAAGAAACAAGGCCUCCACCGAAUCUUUAUCAAAUGACCCAUUCAAAAUACUAUUCUGUCCACAUGGAGGGGCAAAGAAAGAAAAAGGGCCCAAAAGGGGAACAGAUUCAAGCAGGGGUGCUUACCAGAGCAACAUUCAGGCUAUAUAAACUUCCACAUCCUUUCCACUGAUUUUAUAGGUGCUUGAUAGCCACAGAUUUAUUCCUUUUGUUGAAAUACUAUCAAGCAUUGAUAGAACCAAUGCCAUCCUCAAGACUGCUUGGUCAACUGUUCAUUCCCGGCAUUAAUUGCUCAGAACAACUUAUCCCAAUCCUCUGGUAUUCCAAACUACAAACGACCCUCUUUUCCUGAAUUCACAUGGACGAAAACUAGUCAUGGCCUUCCCCAUCAAAGCCAUAGCAGCAAUGCUUGGAAACUGCUUCUUCUGGAACUUGUUUACUGUUGCAUUUGAACUCUGAGGUUGACAAAUCACCAUAGCUUCAGGCUUCUUUUUGGAUGAUGAAGCUGGCUUAUGACACCAUCUUUGGAUCCAAGCAUGCGAAAGUGUAAUGUCUUGACUUUUCCUCACUGAGUCAGAGGAAGAGGAUUCAGCAUUCCUCGUUGAUUCUGCAGUCUGAUCUAUAACCAUCUGUUUUUUACCAGAAGACUUGCCCAUCUUUGGAUCUGAACUAGUUUUGCUACAGUUAAGUAUUUUGCUGAAGAACUUGUUAACUUUUUCAUGGGAAGAGGCUUCCCCCAUUUUUGAGUUUUGAGCUCUUAGUACCAUGAGCAAAAGACUCUGAAGCACUUGGUUUGA